AGGACUACAAGCCCUGGGAUGCAGGUUUUGCUGCUGCUGCCUCUGCUGGAGUGGGCAUUGGUGGCCUUCAAGGCUGAUGUCACCUGUUCUCCUUGACUGUGCAACUGAAAUCAUCCGCGACCAACCGCCACCUUGCGCCAGGUUCUGGAAGAGUGUUUCCUGGGCUUGGACUUCUUCAUUCUGGCAACAACCUGUUGAGUGUGGUUGUACUUUCUGGAGAAGGAAAUGGCAACUACUCGAGUACUCUUGCCUGGGAAAUCUCAUGGACAGGGGAGCCUGGCAGGCUACAGUCCACGGAGUCACAAACAGUAGGACACGACUGAGUGACAGAGCAUGCACAGUGUGGCUGUGGAAAUGGAAAUAAUGGAACUGAAGUAACUGUGCCAAUCUUAAGUGCCACCCUGUCACUUCCUUUGUGUGGCUUCAUGGUUGACUUCCAGCUCUCUUCCUCUUCUUGCACCCUGUGCCCCGCAGACCCCCACAUACUGACCUCUCUGGCCUGGGUCACACUGAUGUCCACAUCUCUGCUCUCAGCAGCCCCAUGGCAGAGCUGUUCUUUACAGCCACCUCUCAUUCUGAAAUGCAUUGCUGAUUCUGUGUGUGUUUUUACAACCAGUUUCAUACUCCUUAAAGACAGAUUUUUUUUUCUCUUUGUUUAUCCGACGGAGUCUGGAGCAGCGUCUUGCGUCUGUUUCAUGUAAUUGCUUGAUUCCCAUGACUUUGUCUGUGCUGUUCCUCCAACCCCAGUUUCUCCUCCUUCCCGACCACCUCUCUGUAGCCCACUUAUCUUUCUGAGUCUCACUCAAGGCCUGAAUUCUUCAUAAAGCGUUUCCACGACAGCACCCCUGGGACUUCUUUCUCCGCUGAACUUCAGUUGCACUUCCUGAAUAGUUUAGCACCUGGUUGCACAGCUAGAGCCUUUCUAGAAGUGAAAGAAGAGAAUGUGCUUAGGUAAAAGCAUGGUCCACCUUGUAAAGUGAUUAAAAACAUUUUGGAUUGGUGUAGGUUGAGCCCAUUUUAUGAUUAGGAAUGACCGAUGGAAGAUGAUUAAGAAAUGCAACAUAAAAAAGAGCUAAGUGACCCUCAUGCAGAAUAAAAUAGUAGUUUUUGUUGCUGUAGAGAGUAAAGCAGCUCAGGAUUUAAAUUAAAAAUGUAGGCACCCCGAGCUCCCAAUCCAGCCUUAAAAAAACUGACUACAACAACAUUCUCCAUAAUCCCCGAGCGGUAACCUAACUCUGCUCCAGGAACUAGGAGCUGGCCUGACACCUCCUUUCCUGCCUAAUUGCUAUGAUUAAUUUUUGCACUUGUAACACAAUCCUUGACUCUGCACUAUAACAGGGACUCAAAGGUCUCAAAGCUGUUCAAUUUCUGAAUAACUAAAGGAAUUCACGAGUGACCGGCAGGAGCGGGAAUAGCCUUUCCGAAGAGUGACGGGCUGUUUGGGUUGAGAUGUUUCUGGAUUCCUGUUGGUAUAGGUAUGGUGUGUGAAUUCUUUCUGUGGUACGAGGGAAAUAUCUAAUGACAGCCAAUUGCUUAUUUUGGAUCGUUUGGAACCUGGUUUUAACAUUAGGGGGAAAAAACACACCAGCUUGGCUCAGUAAAGAGCCAGACAAGGCAUUUCAUUGCGUCUGGUCUUGGUUGGGAGAGCCGUGGGCCCGUGGCCUGAGGAGCAGUGAUGGGGAAACUGCACAGAGUGGGUUCUCCCGGGCUGACGUGUGCCUGGGGACCAGAAACUAUGAAACACUGGUGGGAAUGCUUCAGGGAGGGGCUGCAGAUGGGGGUGCAGUUGAACAGCUAGUGCCUGAUACAAUUGUAGAUGGCAGUUCGGGGACACUUGGAUAUUGUUAAGUAGCAAGGCAGGGCAUUUGGGUUAAUGGCCAAUGCGGAGACAUAGAUAUACAUAUAUGCUUCCCCCGACAUAAAUACUCUUUGAAAGAAUCAAUCCUCCCCUCUCUCCCAUCCUCUCCAGCUCUCUGCCCUUGCUGUCAAUCCGUUUGAUUGACACACAUACCAGAAACCCAGAGAAAUUUCUAAGUACCUGCUAAUGGAUUUUAGAAUGAGGGGGGAAAAAUAAGGACAAAAUAAUGGCCCUAUGUCUAGGAGAACUAUGCCAUGGCUCUAAGUCAGAGUUGUGCCCAUGAACAUUGAGGGCUAAAGCCUGCAGCUGAAAGGUGAAGGUAGCCUUCCUGGGUGCAGGUGGUUAGUGGAAAGGGGUUGACAGGUCUUCUUUGGUGCCUCCUGGCCUCUGUGAACCAGUAGCCUUGGGAUCCUUAUGGUUUUUUAGGCUCUGUCGCUUGGUCCUAACAUGGCAGCCACAUGAAACAGAGACCUGGGUGUGGAGAAAUCUUCCUUUGGGGAUCCAACUAUUUCAGGAGGUGACACUUUCUGCUGUGAUUAUGCUAGGCUGCACUCUGCAAGGAAGCCAGGAUUAAAGGCAAGGUAUCUGCCUUUAAGGGGCUUCCCAGGAGGCUCAGUGGUAAAAAAUCCACUUGCCAAUGCAAGAGAUGUGGGUUCAAUCCCUGGAUCAGGAAGACUCCUUGGAGGAGGAAAUGGCA